rnacentral:rRNA from 1 species
UGCUUAUAGUUUGAUCCUGGCUCAGAAUCAACGCUGGCGGCGCGCCUAACACAUGCAAGUCGAACGAGAGCCUUCGGGCUCUAGUGGCGCACGGGUGAGUAACACGUGGGUUACCUGCCCUCGAGUGGGGAAUAACUCCGGGAAACUGGAGCUAAUACCGCAUACCCUCUACGGAGGAAAGGCUUCGGUCGCUCGAGGAUGGGCCCGCGGUCGAUUAGCUAGUUGGUAGGGUAACGGCCUACCAAGGCAACGAUCGAUAGCCGGCCUGAGAGGGCACACGGCCACACUGGCACUGAGACACGGGCCAGACUCCUACGGGAGGCAGCAGUGGGGAAUCUUGGACAAUGGGGGAAACCCUGAUCCAGCGACGCCGCGUGACCGAUGAAGGCCCUCGGGUCGUAGAGGUCUUUCGGCGGGGACUAUAGUGAAGGUACCCGCAGAAGCAGGAGCGGCUAACUACGUGCCAGCAGCCGCGGUAAUACGUAGGCUCCAAGCGUUGUUCGGAAUUACUGGGCGUAAAGCGAGUGUAGGCGGUUCGCCAAGUCGAUUGUGAAAUCUCCCGGCUCAACCGGGAGGGUGCGGUCGAAACUGACUAACUGGAGUCCGGGAGAGGAGAGUGGAAUUCCUGGUGUAGCGGUGAAAUGCAUAGAUAUCAGGAGGAACACCGGUGGUGAAGACGGCUCUCUGGACCGGUACUGACGCUGACACUCAAAAGCGUGGGGAGCAAACAGGAUUAGAUACCCUGGUAGUCCACGCCCU